rnacentral:rRNA from 1 species
CCUACGGGUGGCAGCAGUGAGGAAUAUUGGUCAAUGGACGCAAGUCUGAACCAGCCAUGCAGCGUGCAGGAAGACGGCUCUAUGAGUUGUAAACUGCUUUUGUACGAGGGUAAACGCAGAUACGCGUAUCUUUCUGAAAGUAUCUUACGAAUAAGGAUCGGCUAACUCCGUGCCAGCAGCCGCGGUAAUACGGAGGAUUCAAGCGUUAUCCGGAUUUAUUGGGUUUAAAGGGUGCGUAGGCGGGCGGAUAAGUUAGAUGUGAAAUCCCGAGGCUCAACUUCGGAAUUGCCUCUGAUACUGGUCGGCUAGAGAGUAGUUGCGGUAGGCGGAAUGUAUGGUGUAGCGGUGAAAUGCUUAGAGAUCAUACAGAACACCGAUUGCGAAGGCAGCUUACCAAGCUACUUCUGACGUUGAGGCACGAAAGCGUGGGGAGCAAACAGGAUUAGAUACCCUUGUAGUC